CAUCGUCCUCCAGGGACUGGGAGAUGACUCUGGAGGAACAGGGUUUGCUGUGCAAGCCUGGGAGCCUGCACUGCACUCCGGAACUUACACAGAGCCAGGACUGGUCUGCAAUCCCACAUGACAAGAGGCUCCAAGACAGGAGGCUACUCAGAAGCUCAAAGGCCAGCUGUCCUGGUUCCCCCAGCUUCGAGCAACAGAGACCCCCAACUCAAAACAAACUGGAAGGGCUGCCCAGUAAGUACAGUGUCCUUCCCUAGAAGUUUGUGACACGGAGAAGUCUGACAAAGAUCCCACGGCUCGUACGGCAUGAUCAUCGGCCUCUUCACCAUGCUACCUUCAACUCUGAAAUCAAAUUACAUCGAAAUGACCUACUUUCCAAAUGGAAAGGGGGGAGGGAGAGAACGCAUUUGCCUUUAAAAAAAACCAGUCCAAUAAAAUAUUAUGUAAA